rnacentral:rRNA from 1 species
GAUGAACGCUGGCGGCGUGCCUAAUACAUGCAAGUCGAGCGAACGGACGCGGCGUUUGCUUCGCUGUUGUUAGGGGCGGACGGGUGAGAAACGCGUGGAUAACCCACCUAUAAGACUAGGAUAACUUCGGGAAACCGGAGCUAAUACCGGAUAAUAUCUUGAACCGCAGGGUUCAAAAGUGAAAGACGGUCUUGCGGGCGGUUUUGGAUGGAUCCGCGCUGCAUUAGCUAGUUGGUGAGGUAAAGGCUUACCAAGGCAACGAUGGAUAGCCGGCCUGAGAGGGUGACCGGCCACAGUGGGACUGAGAGACGGCCCAGACGGCUACGGGAGGCAGCAGUGGGGAAUAUUGCACAACGGGCGGAAGCCUGAUGCAGCGACGCCGCGUGCGGGAUGACGGCCUUCGGGUUGUAAACCUCUUUCAACUGAGACGAAGCGAUAGUGACGGUAAUUGAUAAAGAAGCACCGGCUAACUACGUG